UACGUAGGGUGCAAGCGUUGUCCGGAAUUAUUGGGCGUAAAGAGCUCGUAGGCGGCUUGUCGCGUCGGCUGUGAAAACCUGGGGCUCAACCCCGGGCCUGCAGACGAUACGGGCAAGCUAGAAUUCGGUAGGGGAGACUGGAAUUCCUGGUGUAGCGGUGAAAUGCGCAGAUAUCAGGAGGAACACCGGUGGCGAAGGCGGGUCUCUGGGCCGUAACUGACGCUGAGGAGCGAAAGCGUGGGGAGCGAACAGG
rnacentral:rRNA from 1 species